rnacentral:rRNA from 1 species
GACGAACCGUGCGAACGUUAUUCGGAAUUACUGGCUUAAAGCGCGUGUAGGCGGGCCGGCACGUCCGACGCUGAAAUCCCCGGCUCAACCGGGAAGUGGCGGGAUACGACCGGCCUCGAGGGGGUAGGGGACCUGGAACUUCCGGUGGAGCGGUGAAAUGCGUUGAGAUCGGAAGGAACGCCCGUGGCGAAAGCGAGGUCCUGGACCCUUCUGACGCUGAGACGCGAAAGCCAGGGAGCGAACGGG